rnacentral:rRNA from 1 species
AUUGAACGCUGGCGGCAGGCCUAACACAUGCAAGUCGAGCGGUAACACAGGGAGCUUGCUCCCGGGUGACGAGCGGCGGACGGGUGAGUAAUGUCUGGGAAACUGCCUGAUGGAGGGGGAUAACUACUGGAAACGGUAGCUAAUACCGCAUAAUGUCGCAAGACCAAAGAGGGGGACCUUCGGGCCUCUUGCCAUCAGAUGUGCCCAGAUGGGAUUAGCUAGUAGGUGGGGUAACGGCUCACCUAGGCGACGAUCCCUAGCUGGUCUGAGAGGAUGACCAGCCACACUGGAACUGAGACACGGUCCAGACUCCUACGGGAGGCAGCAGUGGGGAAUAUUGCACAAUGGGCGCAAGCCUGAUGCAGCCAUGCCGCGUGUAUGAAGAAGGCCUUCGGGUUGUAAAGUACCUUCAGCGGGGAGGAAGGUGCUGAGGUUAAUAACCUCAGCAAUUGACGUUACCCGCAGAAGAAGCACCGGCUAACUCCGUGCCAGCAGCCGCCGUAA